UGGGGAAUAUUGCGCAAUGGGCGAAAGCCUGACGCAGCGACGCCGCGUGAGGGAUGAAGGUUUUCGGAUCGUAAACCUCUGUCAGAAGGGAAGAAACCGCACUGUGCUAAUCAUCAGUGCCUUGACGGUACCUUCAAAGGAAGCACCGGCUAACUCCGUGCCAGCAGCCGCGGUAAUACGGAGGGUGCAAGCGUUAAUCGGAAUUACUGGGCGUAAAGCGCACGUAGGCUGCUUUGUAAGUCAGGGGUGAAAUCCCACGGCUCAACCGUGGAACUGCCUUUGAUACUGCUUAGCUUGAAUCCGGGAGAGGGUGGCGGAAUGCCAGGUGUAGGAGUGAAGUCCGUAGAUAUCUGGAGGAACAUCAGUGGCGAAGGCGGCAACCUGGACCGGUAUUGACGCAGAGGUGCGAAAGCGUGGGGAGCAAACAGG
rnacentral:rRNA from 1 species